UGUCUUUCUCGUGUUGAUUCAAUUUCAGUGUUGAUAUUUUGUUUUCAGUUCGAAUUCUUUAUUACGAUCUUUUACGGGUACAUUUGUUAUUGACGAUUGGUUGUAAUAUUGUAAUCUUUUGGAAAACUGGUAGUUAAGUUCCCGAGACUUGAUGUCAAGAGACGAGGAAUAACUUUGCAACGGUUUACUUUAGGACGAACACCGUAUUAUUUGGAAGCUUGAAUUUCAGGUCCAGCGUUCAUCUCGUCCACUGGGAAACGAGACUAGUCCAACAAGCAUGUGAAAA